rnacentral:rRNA from 1 species
GACGGAGGAUGCAAGUGUUAUCCGGAAUCACUGGGCGUAAAGCGUCUGUAGGUGGUUUAAUAAGUCAACUGUUAAAUCUUGAGGCUCAACCUCAAAAUCGCAGUCGAAACUAUUAGGCUAGAGUAUAGUAGAGGUAAAGGGAAUUUCCAGUGGAGCGGUGAAAUGCGUAGAGAUUGGAAAGAACACCGAUGGCGAAGGCACUUUACUGGGCUAUUACUAACACUCAGAGACGAAAGCUAGGGUAGCAAAUGGG